GGGAAUACGAUUCCGUUUAUUAUGAGAAAGGUGGCAAAGAACCUUCAUGGAUAGGUUCGUAAUAAGGUGACUUGAAUUGUGGAUUAGGUUUGCCGGACGUGGAGCUGCAUGUCCUCACCCCUAGGCUGACCAUGUCCCAUGUUUUACGUAAUACUUGAGCCUUCAUGGUUAUGCGAGUACAUGUCAUGCCAACGAGCAACAACAUUCUAUUACGAAAAAAACAAGGACAUCUGUUUUACUGCAAAUAGACUGUAAGAGCCACAUUUUGAGCCGGGCCGGCCCGCUAACCACAGCACCGGCCCGACCCAUGUGAAGGGGAGGGAGACUCCCGAACGGGGUCUUCUCCCUCCCCUGCUUCAAUCCCUUCCCGAAUCCACCACAAGAGGGGAAAAAAAAAAAGGAAAAAAAAGGAGAAUCAAAUCUUACCUAAAUUGAACCAAUCCUCUUCUAUAAAAGACUCCUUUUCCCUCUUCCUAGGGCAUCAAUCGAGAGCUCUUUCAAAACCAAAAAAAAAAAAAGAGAAAGAGAGAGAGAGAGAUCCGUGAGAAGCUUGGAUUGUUCGCCGUCGGGCCGGCCGGAGGAGUUCGCCGGAGGUAAGAGUUGCAGGAUGCAUAGACAUGGAUGGGAUGAGCGCAAAGUGCGAGUAUGAGAGUCAUUAGUUACUUAGUCUAUCUUGAUAUCAAUGAAUAUUGAAAGUUUUUUUUUGUAAAUGAACCAAUUUGAUUAUCUGGUCAUGUUGGAUUUAUCUAUUUGAUUUAAGUGAUUAACUGUGGAAUUAUCAGAUUUUUAUUCA